rnacentral:rRNA from 1 species
AAACGACAUCGAAAGCUUGCUUUUGAUGGGCGUCGACCGGCGCACGGGUGAGUAACGCGUAUCCAACCUGCCUUACACUCUUGGAUAACCUUGCGAAAGUAAGACUAAUACCCAAUGAUAUCUCUAGAAGACAUCUGAAAGAGAUUAAAGAUUUAUCGGUGAUGGAUGGGGAUGCGUCUGAUUAGCUUGUUGGCGGGGUAACGGCCCACCAAGGCAACGAUCAGUAGGGGUUCUGAGAGGAAGGUCCCCACAUUGGAACUGAGACACGGUCCAAACUCC